GACGAAACGCUGGCGGCGUGCUUAAACACAUGCAAGUCGAACGGUCCUGUUUUUGAAGCGCUUCGGCGUGGAGGGAGCGGGUUAGUGGCGCACGGGUGAGUAAUGCGCGAGGACCUGCCCGCGGGAGGGGGACAGCAGUUGGAAACGGCUGGUGAUACCCCGUAAGCCGGGAGGUAAAAGGGCGGAGACGCCCGCCUGCGGAUGGACUCGCGUCCUAUCAGCUAGUUGGUGAGGCAACGGCUCACCAAGGCGACGACGGGUAGCCGGCCUGAGAGGGUGUCCGGCCACACUGGAACUGAGACACGGUCCAGACUCCUACGGGAGGCAGCAGUGGGGAAUUUUGGGCAAUGGGGGAGACCCUGACCCAGCGACGCCGCGUGAGGGACGAAGGCCCUUGGGUCGUAAACCUCUUUUGCAGGGGAAGAAGAAGAUGACGGUACCUUGCGAACAAGUCCCGGCUAACUACGUG
rnacentral:rRNA from 1 species